ensembl:lncRNA
CUAUGCUGUAAAGGACGCUGCUAUAAAUAUCGCAGAGUCGGGGAUAGCAUUUGUAAGAAAUCAAAUAGUUUUAUAUUAAUACCUUCAUCAAGACAUUUCAAUAGACUAGUUACAAACACCCCAACUCAAAUGUCAUCUCUUCAGAAGGGUAUCUCAGCAUCCCUCACCCCAGUCGCAUCCCAUUACCUUAUUUUGUGUUUUUUAAAGCCGUUUUCAGUACCUGAAUUCAUCUUAUCUAUUUAUUUGUGUCCAUGUGUAUUAUCUCCCUCCCCUCCCACUGGAAGAUAAGAUCCUUGAGGCCAGUAACUCUUGCUGUAUCCCUAUGCGCUCAAUAAUUAAUAACUGACCGGCCAGCAUCAGGACCUGGUGAAAUGGAGUAUGCGCCAUCCUGAGACGCUCCACCAGCAGCAGCGGGAUGUGAUAGUUAGGAUCAAAGAUAUUAAGAUGUCACAUUUACUGUUGCUGCCAUGACUGAAGCCGAAAAGCAGCACAGAACCGUGCGGAGGGUGGGCCCUGACUUGGACCUGCCUCUAAGGAAGGGGUGAGCCUGGACUGCUGAGUGGGGGUGUAGGAGCUGCCUCUGUGUCUGCACCUUUAGCAGCCCUCUAGCCCAUCUCUGACUUCAGCCACGGCUGUGGUAGGCAGUUUCACUCUGCUUUUGCUGCUGGUGUUCCACCUGCAGACUCAUGCCACUUGUCUUUCUCCAUUCCACACUCAGACCUUCUCCCAAUGCCCGGAAGCUUUCUGGGCUGGCUUGCAAGCCCAGCUCAGAAGUGCAGAGGAGUUAAUACCCUAUAGGCAACCCUCAACCAACACAGAACGGUGGCUGAUGGACAAAUGCUCCAGCCUCCAGUCCAACAGGUGGACACUUUCGGGAGAUAUUCUGCACACUUCUCAGAGGUCCUGGUGGAAUUGAACUCCCACCGCUGACAGUAGUGACCUCAACAAUGCAUCCAUAGAUGAACUCUCCCCUUCUCUGUCUCACUCCCCCUGUCCCUUCACUCCUGCUUCCUGGGAUCACCUGUACCAAGUCUUGUCUCAGGCUCUGCUUUGGGGGACACUACAGUCUGGGAAAUGUUUGAUGUGGACACAAGCAGGACUAAUGGUGGAACUUCUAAGUUAGCCUCCCUCCUGCAUGUGGGAUGCCUUGAAGAAAGCUGCAGCGUAGAUGAAAAGGAAACGCUAUACCGUCUAACAGCUGGGACACCGGAGACCACGCGGUUCUGCUGCAGGCCCCAUAACCACCGAGGACACUAUGAGAAGCAGCACCCUUCCUCGAGCUCUGAGAAAGCACCCCUGCUUGGACCGACUGAGACCUGUGUCAGCGACAGCUGGGGCGGUGUGGGUGACAGGACUACCAGAACAGGGUGAUCCUGUCAGAGCCCCUCUCUUCAGGACUGCCAUGCCUUCAGCACAGCUCUCAGCAGCUCCAGCUCUCCACUAACAGCCAAUGGAGCGCCGACCAACACCUGGCAAGUGAAUCUGGCUGCGGGGACAUCCCUAAGGUCCCCUCCCCCAGCAGGUGUCCACAGAGCAACGCUGAGUAGGACUGAUUCCUGGGCAAAUGUAAGCAACCCUGGAAUAUUUGAAGGUAGAAUUAUUGAAAAAUAUUUGACCAAGACAAGGAUUGGACUUUGUGCUAAUUUGACACCUAGCAGAUCAGAGCUGUAAUUGAGGCUUAAAAAGAAACGUGAACCCAUUUUAUCAUCACAAGUUGGUAAAGUCAGGAAUGUAUUUUACAACCACUUUAUCAACAUUUACUCCAACAUUUCCCAAAACUCAUUCAUUUGCCUAGUAUCUAACAACUUACUAUCUGUACUAUUCGUUACUUAAUAUUUUUCUUUAAACCAAAACACUUUUUCAAACUUAAAUAUCCAAGUAAGCUUCAUACUGAAUGAAAAUAAAUGUGGAAUUAUGGAUCUG